GCCCCUGUAGUGUAGUACGGUCAGUACUCCAGAUGACCUGAAGUAUCCGGAAUAGCAUUCAAGACUGUCACUCUUGAGACCCGGGUUCGAAUCCCGGCGGGGGCGCCA
rnacentral:tRNA from 1 species